GCCUCUUUUACGCAGUAGGUAGCGCGUCAGUCUCAUAAUCUGAAGGUCUUGAGUUCGAUCCACACAUGGGGUA